rnacentral:rRNA from 1 species
GACGAACGCUGGCGGCGUGCUUAACACAUGCAAGUCGAACGGAAAGGCCCUGCUUUUGUGGGGUGCUCGAGUGGCGAACGGGUGAGUAACACGUGAGUAACCUGCCCUUGACUUUGGGAUAACUUCAGGAAACUGGGGCUAAUACCGGAUAGGAGCUCCUGCUGCAUGGUGGGGGUUGGAAAGUUUCGGCGGUUGGGGAUGGACUCGCGGCUUAUCAGCUUGUUGGUGGGGUAGGUGCUUACCAAGGCUUUGACGGGUAGCCGGCCUGAGAGGGUGACCGGCCACAUUGGGACUGAGAUACGGCGCAGACUCCUACGGGAGGCAGCAGUGGGGAAUAUUGCACAAUGGGCGGAAGCCUGAUGCAGCAACGCCGCGUGCGGGAUGACGGCCUUCGGGUUGUAAACCGCUUUCGCCUGUGACGAAGCGUGAGUGACGGUAAUGGGUAAAGAAGCAACGGCUAACUACGUG